rnacentral:lncRNA from 1 species
AUGUUUUUCCCUAUACAUACAUAUCUAUGAUAAAGUUUAAUUUAUAAACUAGGCACAGUAAUAGAGUAACACAAAAUAAAAUAGAACAAUUAUAACAAUACGCCAGCGUUGCUUCUCUUCUGCUUUGGGGCCAUUAUUCGUUAAAGUAAGGGUGACUUAAACCCAAGCACCAUAAUAUCACUGCAGUCGAGCUGGUAACCAAGACGAAGUGACUAAUAGGCAGGCAGCGUGGAUGAUUCACAUCCCAGGUGGGACAGAGCAGGACAUGUAAGAUUUCAUCACGCUACUCACAACGGCAUGCAACUUAACACUUAUAAAAUAUUUAUUUCUGGAAUUUUACAUUUAACAUUUUCAGACUGCAGUUGACAGCAGAUAACUGAAAGCUCAGAAAGCGAAACUGUGGAUGUUGGGGGGGGGGAACUAUGGCAUCACAUUUAAAAUUGCUUCUCGCUACGUCACUGAAGUUUUAGGAAGUUAAAUGUUAUGUUCCUGUAAAGAUAAAAAGUGUCGCCGGGCGCGGUGGUUCACGCCUGUAAUCCCAGAACUUUCGGAGGCUGAGGCGGGCAGAUCACAAGGAUAUGGAAACUGUCAUGAAGAAUAAUUUCAGGAACUGGAGAUUCCUUUAUCCAGAGAUUUAAAAAAAGACAUACAUACAUACAUAUAUAUAUGUAUAUAUACACACACACACAUAUAUAUACAUAUUAAAAAAGACAUACAUAUAUACAUAUAUAUAUAUUUUUAAAUCUUGGAGUCUUGCUCUGUCACCCAGGCUGGAAUGCAAUGACAUGAUCUCAGCUCACUGCAGCCUCCACCUCCCGGUUCAAGCAAUUCUCCUGCCUCAGCCUCCCAAGUAGCUGGGAUUACAGGCGCCCGCCACCACACCUGGCUAAUUUUUGUAUUUUUAGUAGAGGUGGGGUUUCUCCAUGUUGGCCAGGCUAGUCUCAAACUCCGGGCCUCAGGUGAUCUGCCUCCCAAAGUGCUGGGAUUACAGGUGUGAGUCACGGCACCUGGCCUGAAUAGGUAGAUAUGUGAUAAACCCAAUAUAGAAAAAAUUUAAUGGUAGAAUCUAGAUGGUGAAUAUAUAGGUGGUUCAUUGUAGAAUUCUUUCAACUUUUCUGUACACUUGAAAAGUUUUAUAAUAAAAAUGUUAUACACAGAGAGAGAGAGAGAGAC